rnacentral:misc_RNA from 1 species
GAUGAAGAACGCAGGGAAAUGCGAUAAGUAAUGUGAAUUGCAGAAUUCAGUGAAUCAUCGAAUCUUUGAACGCACAUUGCGCCCGCCAGUAUUCUGGCGGGCAUGCCUGUUCGAGCGUCAUUUCAACCAUCAAGCCCCCCGGCUUGUGUUGGGGACCUGCGGCUGCCGCAGGCCCUGAAAAGCAGUGGCGGGCUCGCUGUCACACCGAGCGUAGUAGAUCUCAUCUCGCUCAGGGCGUGCUGCGGGUUCCGGCCGUUAAACCACCUUCAUAACCCAAGGUUGACCUCGGAUCAGGUAGGAAGACCCGCUGAACUUAAGCAUAUCAAUAAGCGGAGGA